rnacentral:rRNA from 1 species
CCUACGGGUGGCAGCAGUGAGGAAUAUUGGUCAAUGGGCGGGAGCCUGAACCAGCCAAGCCGCGUGAAGGAAGAAGGCGCCAGGCGUCGUAAACUUCUUUUGUCGGGGAACAAAGGGCGCCACGUGUGGCGUUGUGAGUGUACCCGAAGAAAAAGCAUCGGCUAACUCCGUGCCAGCAGCCGCGGUAAUACGUAGGUGGCAAGCGUUGUCCGGAAUUACUGGGUGUAAAGGGAGCGCAGGCGGGAAGCCAAGUCAGCUGUGAAAACUACGGGCUUAACUUGUAGACUGCAGUUGAAACUGGUUUUCUUGAGUGAAGUAGAGGUUGGCGGAAUUCCGAGUGUAGCGGUGAAAUGCGUAGAUAUUCGGAGGAACACCGGUGGCGAAGGCGGCCAACUGGGCUUUAACUGACGCUGAGGCUCGAAAGUGUGGGGAGCAAACAGGAUUAGAUACCCUGGUAGUC